rnacentral:rRNA from 1 species
UACAUAGGGAGCGAGCGUUAAUCGGAAUUACUGGGCGUAAAGCGCACGUAGGUGGCGACGUAAGUCGGGUGUGAAAGCCCCGGGCUCAACCUGGGAAUUGCAUUCGAGACUGCAUUGCUGGAGUACGGAAGAGGAGGGCGGAAUUCCCGGUGUAGCGGUGAAAUGCGUAGAUAUCGGGAGGAACAUCAGUGGCGAAGGCGGCCCUCUGGUCCAGUACUGACACUCAAGUGCGAAAGCGUGGGGAGCAAACAGG